AGACACCCUAAACUUUGUGCAUUUGCAUUAUUAUUUGAAGGAAUUGUACUUAAAAAUGGAAGGAUUAUUAAAAUGAAAUUAAAAGAAGUUCAAACAACAAAACCAACACCUCUGAAAAAUAAUUUAUUUUAGAGAAAACAACUGAUUCCUGAAAAAACGAAACUCGCAGUAUGUACCUUAUUUACUUUCAGGGUUGCCAUGGACUACAGAUGUUUCUGAGCUCCCAUCAUUACAGUCCCAAGAUGAACCUAAAGUCAAAAUGAAAUAUGACUCUUCAGACUUUACAAGGCACUGUUCCUUCUGCAUAUGGAUGGGGAAAAUGAUUUGCUGUGCAAGAUUUGGAUUCUGAUAGUUAAAAAAAAUGUUUGCAGCUUCUUUACAAUUCCUAACUGAAAGGUUAUCCCUAUUGUGUCCAUUAACAAAUGGCAAACAUGCUAACAGAAGCUUGCCUUGAGCAGUGUCUACCAGAGAAGGAAAAGCAGAAGACUCCACAUUUUGUUGAUUAGAAAAAUAGGUGCAGAAACUACAUCACCAUUCCUUGGCCUGCACCCAGAAACGG
rnacentral:lncRNA from 1 species